UACGAAGGGGGCUAGCGUUGCUCGGAAUUACUGGGCGUAAAGCGCACGUAGGCGGCUCUUUAAGUCGGGGGUGAAAUCCUGGAGCUCAACUCCAGAACUGCCUUCGAUACUGGAGAGCUCGAGUCCGGGAGAGGUGAGUGGGACUGCGAGUGUAGAGGUGAAAUUCGUAGAUAUUCGCAAGAACACCAGUGGCGAAGGCGGCUCACUGGCCCGGUACUGACGCUGAGGUGCGAAAGCGUGGGGAGCAAACAGG
rnacentral:rRNA from 1 species